GGCGGGGGCGCUUCCUCUCCCCCGUCCCAGCCACCCCUCCCCGGCUAGCUUAUGCUCUUCCCUCGGUGUCGCCGUCGAGCUCGCCCUGCACAGGGUCUCUGGCCUGUGGGUGAUAUGCGGCGGUCUUGGCCUUGGACCCGGGCACUAUGACAUUGUCAAGUAAUCUUGAAAUCGGCUUCACUGCCUCAGGGUUAAAGAACAUUGCUGAUCUGAUGAGGCACACACAGUGACAAAAAGGAUAUGAUGUGAGGAAAAACAGCGACAUGAACCAUCCCUCCCAAUGCUUGAAUCUGAUCAGCUCAAUACUCUGAGCCCCCUCAUCUGGUGAGAGCCAUCCUCCGAUUUCACUAUGGAAAAAACAAAAUGUUCAGCAUCAGUUCUGUACAAAAUACUCAAUUGUCUCUGAAGUUCACAAGUUCAGUUCAGACUUCAAGCACCUAGUGUCCAUCCAAAGCUUUUCCUGCGGAUAGUCGGACAUUGCUGGCACAAAUGCUGCAUUAUUUGCCAGACUGUGUGAGUUCCUCAGGAAGAUCCUCUCUUGCCGAACAUCAUUAAGUCUCAUUUCAUCCUCCUAAUGUUUGUGUGAACAAGGCUCCAUUUUUAGAAAGGUCAUCCUUACUACGGCAAAUGUCAUUAACAGUUCUCCACAGCUCCCUGACAAUGACGGGUGUUCGGAUCAUAGUUUCCCAUGCUCCGUUGUGCCCGAAUGAAGGACAUGAUCUUGUGCUCCCCUUCUCGAGGAACAUUUGCAUCAGAUAAUAUUACCUUCAGAAAGAGGAGACGUGGGGAACUCAUCAAGCAACGACCGACCUGAGCAAAUUCAGCAAUCUCACAGCCCUUAAGGGUCCAUCUUCAACCGUUCACGGAUGAAAUACUCCAGCAGUAUUGAUAUUUUCUCCAUGAAUUCCGUCCCUGGCAUCUUAACAGUAGGACCCUCGAGCUCAUAUGUACCUCGCGGCAGCACCUCCUUCCCUUGAGCUCUGAAUAUCUCAGUCAAGAGGACCGCUUCAGCCUCCUGGUAGAUUGAAAUAAUUAAGCGCAUUUACAGUCCCCCAAAAAAAAAUUUUAAUCGUACAUGCAGCAGCGGGCGUCGCAGAUGAGGGAAAUGAAAUGAAAUACAGCUAAGAGCUGAGCUCACCGCAUCUGUGUGAUGCUUGGCAUAUUUGAAGUACCCCUGUCGCAGCUUGUUCAUCUUGGCCAUAGGGGCAACGCCAUCUGUGAUUGAAACCAAAGAAUUACACUGAUUUUCAGUUCGUCAUCAUUCACUUUUGUCGUCUGUUUGAGCCGCUCAAUCAGUGGUUUUUUUUUGUUGUUGUCUGGUCUUGCACAGUGCUGAAGGAUGAAAAUGUGACUGAUACUGAACUGAAAAUUAGCUAGAAGCUGAUGGGACACUAGGUGGAUGCAUAUAUAUGGGAAGAGGGAUGAAUCUGCUCAGGAGAAGUCAAGUGAUCCAUGUAUGUACCAACCUACUGCCAAGUAAAGGAGCCUCCUCGGCCUGACGAUGCGAAACAAGCGAUCCAUGUAAUCGAAAAACCAAUGGUACACCUGUGCAAAUGCAAGUGAAAGGUUAGCAGACACCGGCCAGAUUGCAUGCGGAUCGUCAU